GACGAACGCUGGCGGCGUGCCUAAUACAUGCAAGUUGAGCGAUGAAGAUUGGUGCUUGCACCAAUUUGAAGAGCAGCGAACGGGUGAGUAACGCGUGGGGAAUCUGCCUUUGAGCGGGGGACAACAUUUGGAAACGAAUGCUAAUACCGCAUAACAACUUUAAACAUAAGUUUUAAGUUUGAAAGAUGCAAUUGCAUCACUCAAAGAUGAUCCCGCGUUGUAUUAGCUAGUUGGUGAGGUAAGGGCUCACCAAGGCGAUGAUACAUAGCCGACCUGAGAGGGUGAUCGGCCACAUUGGGACUGAGACACGGCCCAAACUCCUACGGGAGGCAGCAGUAGGGAAUCUUCGGCAAUGGACGAAAGUCUGACCGAGCAACGCCGCGUGAGGGAAGAAGGUUUUCGGAUCGUAAAACUCUGUUGGUAGAGAGGAACGUUGGUGAGAGUGGAAAGCUCAUCAAGUGACGGUAACUACCCAGAAAGGGACGGCUAACUACGUG
rnacentral:rRNA from 1 species